rnacentral:rRNA from 1 species
AUCCUGGCUCAGGAUGAACGCUAGCGGCAGGCUUAAUCAUGCAAGUCGUGGGGCAGCAUGAGUAGCAAUACUUGAUGGCGACCGGCAAACGGGGUGAGGAACACGUACACAACCUUCCUUCAAGCGGGGAAUAGCCCAGAGAAAUUUGGAUUAAUACCCAUAAUAUAUUUGAUAAGGCAUCUUAUUAAUAUUAAAGCUUCGGCACUUGAUGAUGGGUGUGCGGCUGAUUAGAUAGUUGGCGGGGUAACGGCCCACCAAGUCUACGAUCAGUAGCUGAUGUGAGAGCAUGAUCAGCCACACGGGCACUGAGACACGGGCCCGACUCCUACGGGAGGCAGCAGUAAGGAAUAUUGGACAAUGGACGAAAGUCUGAUCCAGCCAUGCCGCGUGAAGGAUUAAGGUCCUCUGGAUUGUAAACUUCUUUUAUAUGGGACGAAAAAAGGGCAUUCUUGUUCACUUGACGGUACCAUAUGAAUAAGCACCGGCUAACUCCGUG